UACGUAGGGUGCAGGCGUUAAUCGGAAUUACUGGGCGUAAAGCGUGCGCAGGCGGCUUUGCAAGACAGAUGUGAAAUCCCCGGGCUUAACCUGGGAACUGCAUUUGUGACUGCAUGGCUGGAGUGCGGCAGAGGGGGAUGGAAUUCCGCGUGUAGCAGUGAAAUGCGUAGAUAUGCGGAGGAACACCGAUGGCGAAGGCAGGUCUCUGGGCUGACACUGACGCUCAUGCACGAAAGCGUGGGGAGCAAACAGG
rnacentral:rRNA from 1 species